GACGAACGCUGGCGGCGUGCUUAACACAUGCAAGUCGAACGGAAAGGCCCUGCUUUUGUGGGGUGCUCGAGUGGCGAACGGGUGAGUAACACGUGAGUAACCUGCCCUUGACUUUGGGAUAACUUCAGGAAACUGGGGCUAAUACCGGAUAGGAGCUCCUGCUGCAUGGUGGGGGUUGGAAAGUUUCGGCGGUUGGGGAUGGACUCGCGGCUUAUCAGCUUGUUGGUGGGGUAGUGGCUUACCAAGGCUUUGACGGGUAGCCGGCCUGAGAGGGUGACCGGCCACAUUGGGACUGAGAUACGACCCAGACUCCUACGGGAGGCAGCAGUGGGGAAUAUUGCACAAUGGGCGGAAGCCUGAUGCAGCAACGCCGCGUGCGGGAUGACGGCCUUCGGGUUGUAAACCGCUUUCGCCUGUGACGAAGCGUGAGUGACGGUAAUGGGUAAAGAAGCACCGGCUAACUGCGUG
rnacentral:rRNA from 1 species